rnacentral:rRNA from 1 species
GACGAACGCUGACGGUGUGCUUUAGACAUGCAAGUCGAACGAGAAAGCCCUUCGGGGUGAGUAAAGUGGCGAACGGGUGAGUAACACGUGGGUAACCUGCCCCUCGCAGAGGGAUAACCGGGGGAAACCCCAGCUAAUACCUCGUACGCUUGCCGGGUCGCAUGGCUCGGCAAGGAAAGGUAGCUUCGGCCAUCUGGCGAGGGAUGGGCCCGCGGUCCAUUAGCUAGUUGGUGGGGUAACGGCCCACCAAGGCGACGAUGGAUAGCUGGUCUGAGAGGAUGAUCAGCCACACUGGGACUGAGACACGGCCCAGACUCCUACGGGAGGCAGCAGUCGGGAAUCUUGCGCAAUGGGCGAAAGCCUGACGCAGCAACACCGUGUGGGCGACGAAGGCCUUCGGGUCGUAAAGCCCUGUUGUUGGGGACGAAGGACGAAGGGUUAAUAGCCCCUAGUCUGACGGUACCCUUCGAGGAAGCCCCGGCUAACUACGUGCCAGCCGCCGCCGUAAAAC